rnacentral:lncRNA from 1 species
AGAAUGUGACUUGGAGAGAGCUCUGAAUGGCUCGGUGUGUUUACGCGAAGUCCGUUCCAGGACGAAAAUCAGCGGCUGAAUGGCCUCAGCCGACUCCUCCGCUAGCUCGCCUGUGCCCUGGUCCUCCGCCCCAGUGCGUCCCCAGCCCGUCCCCAGCCCAGCGCGGUCCACUUUGAUUUCCUAGCCUCGGCGGCUUCCCUUGUCUGCUGCCUUAAUGUUGGUUUAGUGUCCUCCUCAGGUGUCUCUUACGUGCCCACUGAACGCCGCAGCAGCUAGGACGCGGGACAGAUCCACUGGGGGCCGAUAAUUAGAAUACGAUCGUAUCAUCCCCCCGCCCAAGAUAACACGCGAGACCUUUCUUGCAAACCGAAUAGACUCACCUUCUUUCCCUGGGGCGGGUGUUGAAUCCAACCGCACCCUUCUCCCUCGGACCCGGCUGGGGCCUGGAGGGUUUCUGGCGCCCGACUGCGCAGUGCAGACCGAGGGUGCGAAUACCUUGCUAUCCGCGCGAGGAUCCUGCCUCCCACCCGGGGCUAGCUUUUCUCUGAAGUUAGCCUCUGUCACCAGCUCCUAGUUCCAUCGAAGCACCUACCACAGUCGGCCUUCAUUUUCCC